GCUUCAGAAAGAACUGUUCCUGAGAGAUCUCGCCCGUCUGGGUUGUAAUGGUGAUCACCGGGUAGCCCACUUGCUCAGUCCAUGUGCUCAUAAAGGCUUCCACGUCCUUUUUCGUCUCCUGAUCAUGUGAUAAAUAUUGUGAUCAUCCUUUCAUGAACUUCACAAAUUGCAAAUGAAGCACAAGACAACAUUCUCAACACAGCAGCACCCUGGAUGGCACAAAAACGUGAACGGUUUUACGUAAGCUCAAUGGAUGGGAAGAGUUCAAGGAGUCCACUUGAAAAGCGGAAUGGAUUUCUUUGAGAACGAUCAGAUCUUUCUAAAAAAAAAAAAAACAUGAAUAAUCAGAAUCAGAAUCAGAAUCAGAAGAGCUUUAUUGCCAAGUGUGCUUGCACACACAAGGAAUUUUCUUUGGUGUUGGAAGCUUCUAGUACAGACAUUUAACACAAUGACAAUACAAUAAUAAUUGCAUACACAUACUGUAGGUUGAGAUUAUUUAAAAAAAGUUUCUUUCACUAGUAUGAAUAA